rnacentral:rRNA from 1 species
GUCUCUUUGAUUCUCCACAUAAAGAGUCUGACCUGCCCAGUGAUUAAAUAUUUAACGGCCGCAGUACCCUGACUGUGCAAAGGUAGCAUAAUAAUUUGCCUUAUAAUUGAUGGCUAGUAUGAAAGGUUUGACGAAAGCAUUUCUGUCUCAAACAUAUUUUUUAUAAUUUAUUCUUUAAGUUUAAAAACUUAAAUAAAAUUAAAGGACGAGAAGACCCUAUCGAGCUUUAAAAAAAAUUAAGAAAAAAUAUAUUAAUAAGAAUUUUUUUCUUAGGGAAAAUUUUUGGUUGGGGCGACCGAGGAACAAAAAAAGCUUCCUCAGAUAAUAUAUAAAUACAAAGAUCCAGCAUAUAACUGCUGAUAGCUGAAAUUAGUUACCGUAGGGAUAACAGCGUUAUUUUUUCUGAGAGACCUUAUCGAAGAAAAAGCUUGCGACCUCGAUGUUGGAUUGAGGUUACUUAAGGGCGCAGAAGUUCUUAUAAGUUAGUCUGUUCGACUAUAAAAAUCUCACAU